rnacentral:lncRNA from 10 species
CAGGAAACCGUCCUCCUCCAGAAGGUCCCUCCAAGACUUCGCUUCUCACCAUGAUUCUGACAUUGAUAUGAAAACACACAAGAUUUCACUUCUCACCAUGAUUCUGACACUGAUAUGAUCACUGAAUGACCGUUUUCAGCAAUUCGGGCCUAUAAAAGUGUGAAAUAGAUUUUUUUUGAAAGUCCUAUUGUAUAUUCAAAAUUCUGUAACACUAGUGGUUUUCUUCACCUUGUAGCUUAUUAUGAUAAGCACUAAUUUUGACUCUGACAUUUCAACAGGAGCACUUAGUUAUAGACAACCAGGAAUGUUCAAGAAUGACUCAGGAGUAUUUUAUUGACAAGGUAAUCUUUGAGACCAGGGGGUCCUCCUCCCCCCAGCUGGAGGAAUUACACCUGGGCCCAACUUCCUGAAGUCUCAAGGUGGAAUAUAUCUGGUAUUCUUUGUAACAUAUUUCAAUAUUCAGUAGCCAAGUUCAGGCUAUUUCGUGCCCAAAUAUAUAUUGUUUUUCUCUUAUUUAUAAGAACAGUAUUAAACUGUCCCUAUAAUAUUAGAAAAGAGAAGAAGGGUCUCUUCACUGGAAGAGAAUAUUACAGAGUGUUCAGCCUUAAGUGUUUUCAGGUAUGCUUCAAGUCAAGCAUGCUUCUCUAAAGGUGAUUUAGACAAUGAGGUUCACAGGCAAGUAAGCCCUUCUGCCUACAAGUUGUGGCCUGUUUUGAAGAUUGUUUUUGUUUAGCCAAGCCCUUUAUGUGGCAUACUUAUCUGAGCUUACUUCUAAACACAAUUAGUUGAUGUCUAUAAAAAAAAUUUGAACUCGAUCAUUCCUGGAAACUUAUUUAAAAUGUAAAUAUAUAACUGGAAUUCUUAUUCAAAAGUUAUGUACUUCUUCAUAUUUGGUCCCAAUAAGAGCAGGGUAUUUGUUAUGUUUUACUCUCAGAAUUGACACAACUUAUUUCCAUCUUCCACUACCCUCAGUUUCUUUAACUAUAUCAUCUACUUUGUCUUUUCACAAUUCUUAAGUGAGAUUAUUGAUUUUUCUUUUUACUUCUUGUCAACUCUUUGCUGGUAAGAAUAGACAUAUAAAAUCAUUCUUGUAAUAAAAGGUCAUUCCUGGUGAACGCUUAAGUCUGGGCUUCUCUGUGACAAUGGUCCUAUUACUUAAGAAAAGUAAGCCACCAAACUUGGUGAAACAGUAA